rnacentral:rRNA from 1 species
GAUGAACGCUGACAGAAUGCUUAACACAUGCAAGUCAACUUGAACUUCGGUUUGGGUGGCGGACGGGUGAGUAACGCGUACAGAACUUGCCUCACAGAUAGGGACAACAUUUGGAAACGAAUGCUAAUACCUGAUAUUAUGAUUAUAUGGCAUCGUAUAAUUAUGAAAGCUAUAUGCGCUGUGAGAGAGCUUUGCGUCCCAUUAGCUAGUUGGAGAGGUAACGGCUCACCAAGGCGAUGAUGGGUAGCCGGCCUGAGAGGGUGAUCGGCCACAAGGGGAGUGGGACACGGCCCUUACUCCUACGGGAGGCAGGAGUGGGGAAUAUUGGAAAAUGGACCAAGAGUCUGAUGAAGGAAUUCUGUGUGCAAGAUGAAGUUUUUCGGAAUGUAAAGUGCUUUCAGUUGGGAAGAAAAAAAUGACGGUACCAACAGAAGAAGUGACGGCUAAAUACGUG